rnacentral:tRNA from 1 species
GCCUGGGUGGCUCAGUCAGUUGAGCAUCUGACUUCGGCUCAGGUUAUAAUCUCACGGUUUGUGGGUUCGAGCCCCGCGUCAGGCU